CUGGUUUCUUGUAUUUGUCACUCCUCGUUCCCUACCAUGAUUAUGCUUUGUUUUGCUUUGCCUUGUAAACCUUAUGCUUCGCCUUGAAUUGGAGUACCUGCAGUGAUUUUUGUUGGAGAUGGUUAGCAGUGAAGCAUCAGAGGGUGGACAGGCAGGUGAGCAGAACAGAAGCAAAGGUAAAGACUGCUGAAGGAUGGCUGAUGGAAGAGCGGCAGUGAGAGAAGGAUCCAGGUAGAUGUUCUCCAGAUGCUAGGAGCCAGGAAGUGGAUCACUGGAGUCCAAAACCCAAGCAUCAACAAAGGGAUCUAGUUUCUGUCAGGAGAGACAAGGGUGGUUACAGUUAAAGCUUCAAGGAGCAAGGAACACAGAGAUGAGAGACUGAUUACCAUGUAUGUGAGCUCCUCCUUAAGCUGCUGAUGAGCCUUAAUGAGUGGCAGCUGCAGAGUCUGCACCCGCCAGUAAAUAUUAGGGAAUCUGAUUAACCUGAAAUGAAAAUCAGUUCUCCUGGUAGGAUUUUCUUGACAUUUUCUUAUUAGUGCCCUUAAGAGGCAUCAGAGUUUGCAAACAGUUUUCAAAGGAUCAAAAUGAUCUCAUUGUACAAAGUAUCAGUAUAGAAAAAUGGACAAAAAACCUACUGUACCAAGUUGUUCUUCAUUUGGAGAAAAUAUUGGACAAUUCUACAAAACCGAUGAAUAGAUGAGAUUGAAACUGGUCAGAAAGCUCCGAAGAAGCCAACAGGAAUAUUGGCAGUGCUUCAGGAAUUUCUGAGAAGGAAUGGUUGGGUUUACAGUGUGACAUUUUGGUUUCAGUACAUGUCUGGACCAAGGUUUGACAGACAGAAUAUUUUUCUUCCAAACAAACAUCUAGACCUGUCUCAGAUCUCCAAAAAUAUUGUAGGAAAUGUGAGAUGUGUCAUGGUUUGACGAGGCCAAAGAAACUUUCGGGCCACGAUCGACAAGGUAUGCUUGACGCAAAAAGAAGAAAACACGUCACCAAAAGAACAUCAUAUCCACAGUUGUGUGUAAAACAUUGCAUCACAACAUUUUUGUGUAUAAGUAGGCGUCGUACAUGAGGCCCCUGUUGAGGAUGGUUCCCAGAUUCUGUCUUAAGCAGUGUUUAUUUUUAAAGUUGUUUUUAUUUUGUAUUUUAUCUUUUAAUGGUGUUGAACCUAUUUUACAUUGGCUAGCUGGGAUCUAAGGGUUAAACCAAUUAUAUGAUACUUAUGUUUUUAAUUGAAAUAAAUUAUUUAUUUUAACCUUG